rnacentral:rRNA from 1 species
GAUGAACGCUGGCGGCGUGCCUAAUACAUGCAAGUCGAGCGAACGGACGAGAAGCUUGCUUCUCUGAUGUUAGCGGCGGGCGGGUGAGUAACACGUGGAUAACCUACCUAUAAGACUGGAAUAACUUCGGGAAACCGGAGCUAAUACCGGAUAAUAUUUUGAACCGCAUGGUUCAAAAGUGAAAGACGGUCUUGCUGUCACUUAUAGAUGGAUCCGCGCUGCAUUAGCUAGUUGGUAAGGUAACGGCUUACCAAGGCAACGAUGCAUAGCCGACCUGAGAGGGUGAUCGGCCACACUGGAACUGAGACACGGUCCAGACUCCUACGGGAGGCAGCAGUAGGGAAUCUUCCGCAAUGGGCGAAAGCCUGACGGAGCAACGCCGCGUGAGUGAUGAAGGUCUUCGGAUCGUAAAACUCUGUUAUUAGGGAAGAACAUAUGUGUAAGUAACUGUGCACAUCUUGACGGUACCUAAUCAGAAAGCCACGGCUAACCACGUG